CAAAAAGAGAAAAAAAAAUCUUCUUCGUCUGCUCAAAAACCCCUGUGGAAGCGCUGUGAGAGAAUAGAGUUUCUUCCCAUCACAAUAAAACCUUAUCUCUCCAUUUCUAAGCGGCUCCCCCCACAAUUUCCUGUCAAACGCAGGACGUUGUGGAUAAAAAUCCUUCCAUUUUUCUCCAUUUAAGGUUCUCGUUUCGGUUUCUUGUGGUUCAGCGUCGAUGGAGUCGAAGGAGUUUGCUCAAGCAUCGUCGCUGCAGAACUCCAUAUCCUCAGGUUCUUCUUCGACUUCUUCGUCGUCCUAUUCCUCUUCUUCCGUUGAUUCCCCUGUCGAUACGCCGUCCAUCGAUAACCCGGCGGGGGAGGUUGGGGAAAUUGAAACCGGCCAAGGUGGCGAUGAGGGUGGGAGUGACGGCGGUGGGUCGGAAACUGAAGGGUUUUUGAGUGGGGAGGAGGAAUUUGAAUCUGCUGUAGAUAGACCGAUUGUGGGGUAUGCUGAGGAAGAAACCCUCGGGAAAUCCGCCCAAGGGGGAGAUAGUGGUAGUCCUUUUGUGAGUUUUUCGGAAUUUUCGACUCCGGUUAGUGUUAGGCCAAUUGCGAAGGUUUCAGUUGAUAGUGACGUUGAGGAGGAGGAGGAGGAUGUUUCUGGAGGUUCCGGAGUUGGCCUCCAGAUAGAGGAAAGUGAUAAUAAUAAAGUGGUUGGAGGAGACGAUUUUCCUGAGAGUAAGAAGGGGAAUGAAGUUGAGAAUCCAGUGGAAAAGGAGGAGGAUUCGGGCAACCUGGUGAACGAAGAAACAAAUGAGUUGUCGGGGAACCCAAUAGAUGGUAAUGUGCCUGAAAGUUCAGUCGCUGAGGCUGUUGGCUCUGUGCCUGAGGAAGAACUCAAUGGUGGGAAGCAGGUGCCAGAAGGGGUUCAAUGGAAUGAUGUGAUAGUGGAACAGCAGGAAAAUGAGGCUUCAGAUGGAGGGCAAGAAGCAGAAUUGAGUAAAGACAGUCUCCCGGCUGAGAUGCAGGCAGAUGAAGGGAUUGAAUUGAAUGACAAGGUGGCUGCUAAAGAUGUCGAACAAUUAAAAGAGCUGGAAACUGGUGCUUCUCUUGACAACAAAGCUGAGUUGGGUGACCAAGCGAGUUCUAAGGUUUUAGAACUAGCAGAUGAGAAACAAGAAGUGGAAAGGCAGGCCGAUGGGGAGAUUGAAUUGAAUGAAAAGGUGUCUGCUGAAGAUGGAGAGCAAUUGAAGGAAUUGGAAACUGGUUCACCAGUUGAGGACAAAGCCGUUCUGGAUGAUAAUGAAAACUUUAAGGUUUUAGAACCAGCGGAUGGAGGACAAGAAGUAGAAAUGGAGAAAGGAAGUCCGGUGGCUGAGAAGGAAGCAGAUGGGGGGACUAAAUUUAAUGACAAGAUGAAUGCUGAAGAUGGAGAACAGCUAGAGAAAUUGGAAAUUGGUUCUUCUGUUGUCAACAAAGCUGACCUGGAUGAUCAAGCAAACUCCAAGGUUUCAGAACUAGCAGAUGAAUUUUCUAGUGGAUGUUUAGAUGACAAAACCUUGCAUGAAAGUUCUCUGGUAUCAGGGACAGAUGCUGUUGGUAAUCUGGAGGAAAUAAAGGACGUGGGAAAUAGGGUGUCUGUAGAUUUGGUACGUGAAGGUACCAAAUUGGAUAAUGGGUUUGAUAAUGUUGGGCAUGAGGCGGACGAGUUUGUUGACCAUAAUUCUGUGGUUUCAAACUCUGAGAUUGACAAUAAAGAGCCGGAAAUCAGUAUUCCAGUUGCAACAGAAGAAGCAGUGCUUCAUGGAGACAGAGGAUUUGCUGCUACUGAUAUUGCAAAUCAUGAAAAACUUGCGGCUAAGAAUGUGGAGGAUCAGCAGCCUGAUGAUGGAUUGAGAGAAGCUGUGAGUCUUCUUGAUUCUCCACAUGAGGCAGGUAAUGAAAAAGACUCUAAAGACGAUUCUAAAAUAAGAGAGAUUGUGGCUGGUGAAGUUGAAUCUGAAUCAUCUCAGGGUGCUACGUCUUUGGUUAAAGAAACCAUUCCGGAUAGUGCUACAGUGGAAGAUAGCAAAAUUUCUGCUACUCCCAAGAUAAUUGAACCAGUUUUGAAUGAAGUAGAUGGAGAAAAGUAUCAUUCAGAUGAAGAGGGUGAUGGUGAAGGUUCUGUUACGGAUGGAGAGACUGAAGGUGAGAUCUUUGGCAGUUCUGAAGCCGCUAGACAAUUCUUGCAGGAAUUGGAAAGAGCCUCGGGAGCUGGUUCACAUUCAGGUGCAGAGAGUUCUAUUGAUCAUUCACACAGAAUAGAUGGCCAGAUUGUCACGGACUCAGAUGAAGCAGACACGGAGGAUGAAGGCGAAGGAAAGGAGAUGUUUGAUUCUGCUGCUUUGGCAGCACUUCUGAAAGCAGCUAGAGAUGCUGGCUCAGAUGGUGGUCCUAUCACCGUGACAUCUCAGGAUGGCUCUCGGCUUUUCUCCAUAGAACGUCCUGCUGGUCCCGCUGGUCUUGGAUCCUCGCUCACAUCUGGAAAAAAUGCUUCCCGCCCAAGUCGGCCUCUCUCUUUUGCCUCAUCAAAUCCUAGAGUGGGGGAUGAUUCUGAAAAUAGAUUGAGCGAAGAGGAGAAAAAUAAACUUCAGAAGUUACAGCAGAUAAGAGUGAAUUUUUUAAGGCUUGUUCAGAGACUAGGUGUUUCUCCGGAUGAUUCAUUAGUAGCACAGGUUCUAUAUCGUUUUGGGCUUGUAGCUGGUAGGGCUACUGGUCAGCUAUUUAGCUUCGAUAAUGCAAAGACUACUGCUAUUCAGCUUGAAGCGGAAGGAAAAGAAGAUUUAGACUUCUCAUUGAACAUACUGGUUAUUGGGAAAACAGGUGUAGGAAAGAGUGCUACAAUAAAUUCAAUUUUUGGGGAAGAUAAGACUCCAAUCAAUGCAUUUGGGCCUGGUACAACCACGGUGAAAGAAAUUGUUGGGACAAUAGAAGGUGUAAAGAUUAGGGUUUUUGAUUCUCCAGGUCUUAGAUCUUCUUCAUCUGAACGUAGCAUUAACCACAAAAUUUUAUCCUCAAUUAAGAAUGUAAUGAAAAAAUCCCCUCCUGAUAUUGUUCUUUAUGUGGACCGGCUGGAUAACCAAACCAGAGAUCUCAAUGAUCUGCUGUUGUUAAGAUCAAUAUCCAGCUCUCUUGGUUCUUCCAUCUGGAAAAAUGCCAUUAUCACUCUGACUCAUGGUGCCUCUGCUCCACCUGAUGGUCCAUCUGGUGUCCCUUUGGGUUAUGAGGUGUUUGUUGCUCAACGAUCUCAUGUUCUUCAGCAAACUGUUGCUCAGGCUGUUGGUGAUCUGCGUAUUCUGAAUCCAACUUUAAUGAACCCAGUUUCGCUUGUUGAGAACCACCCCUCCUGUAGAAAGAAUAGAGAUGGCCAGAAAGUGCUUCCUAAUGGUCAAAGUUGGAGGCCCCAGUUAUUACUUCUAUGUUUCUCUAUUAAAAUUCUAGCUGAAGUGGGAAGUCUCUCAAAAGCUCCAGAGACAUUUGACCACAGGAAGCUUUUUGGCCUCCGUGCCCGUUCACCUCCUCUUCCAUAUUUAUUGUCUGGUUUGUUGCAAUCCCGUGCACACCCGAAACUGUCAUCAGAUCAAGCUGGUGAUAAUGGAGAUUCUGAUAUUGAUUUGGCUGACUUGUCUGAUUCUGAUCAAGAAGAGGAGGAGGAUGAGUAUGAUCAGCUCCCACCUUUCAAGCCUCUCAGAAAAUCUCAGAUUGCUAAGCUUAGCAAAGAGCAAAGGAGGGCAUACUUUGAGGAAUAUGAUUAUCGGGUGAAGCUGCUUCAGAAGAAGCAGUGGAAAGAGGAAUUAAAAAGGAUGAGGGAUAUCAAGAAGAAGGGUCAACUUCCUGCAGAUGAUUAUGGCUACAUGGGGGAAGAUGAUCAGGAAAAUGGCACUCCAGCUGCUGUGCAGGUUCCACUACCUGACAUGGCCCUUCCUCCUUCUUUUGAUGGUGAUAAUCCAGCUUACCAAUUUCGAUUCUUGGAGCCAACGUCUCAGUUUCUGGCGAGGCCAGUCUUGGACACCCACGGUUGGGACCAUGACUGUGGGUAUGAUGGUGUGAACCUUGAACACAGUAUGGCCAUUGUUAGUCGGUUUCCUGCUGCUGUUGCUGUUCAAAUUACAAAGGACAAAAAAGAGUUCAAUAUCCACUUGGAUUCCUCGGUUUCUGCCAAGCAUGGAGAAAAUGGUUCUACUAUGGCAGGUUUUGACAUCCAAAAUAUUGGAAGGCAACUUGCCUACAUCCUUAGAGGAGAGACGAAAUUCAAAAAUUUCAGAAAGAACAAAACAGCUGCUGGGAUAUCAGUGACAUUCCUGGGAGAGAAUGUGUGCCCGGGGUUCAAAGUUGAGGAUCAGAUUACUCUUGGGAAGCGUGUUGUACUGGUAGGUAGCACUGGCACCGUGCGAUCUCAGGGCGAUUCUGCAUUCGGGGCCAAUCUGGAAAUGCGGCUAAGGGAGGCUGACUUUCCAAUCGGACAGGAUCAAUCAUCUCUUGGUCUAUCUCUUGUAAAAUGGAGAGGAGACAUGGCCUUGGGGGCGAACUUUCAGUCGCAGUUUUCCAUUGGACGAAGUUACAAAAUGGCGGUACGUGCAGGGAUCAACAACAAACUAAGUGGACAGAUUUCUGUCAGAACAAGCAGUUCUGACCAACUUCAGAUUGCUCUCCUGGCUAUUCUUCCGGUUGCCAGGGCUAUUUACAACAGCCUACGUCCUGGAGUUGCAGAAAAUUACUCAACCUAUUAGGAUUUGAAGUCAAAGACUCCAUUCUAUUAAUGGCAAACUUAAGCUUUAGGGUGUAGCGGCGGUGAUUUAGGAAUGGUAGGAUAAUAGGGAUAUUCAAUGAAGCUUUUAUUCCUUCAUCAAUUCACUGAGUUUUUUAGAUUUCUACAAUGAGGCCUCUUAUUAUGAAUGACAUUUUUGUUUUCUAUUUCCCUUUUUGAUAUACUUUCAUCCAUAUAUUCUCUCUCUAUAUUAGCUUUAUAUUUGAAAAUGGUUAGCAUGAAAUUAAUGUGUUAAUUAAAUUAAUUAAUAAGAACUAUAUACUUGUGUAACAUGUAACACAAGAACAAGGUACUUGCCAUGCCAUUUAGUCGACUUUUACAAUUUCAGUUAGCUCAA